rnacentral:rRNA from 1 species
UACGUAGGUGGCAAGCGUUGUCCGGAUUUACUGGGCGUAAAGAGCGCGCAGGCGGUCGUUUAAGUCGAAUGUGAAAGCCCCCGGCUCAACUGGGGAGGGUCAUUCGAUACUGAUCGACUUGAAGGCAGGAGAGGGAAGUGGAAUUCCGGGUGUAGUGGUGAAAUGCGUAGAUAUCGGGAGGAACAUCAGUGGCGAAGGCGGCUACCUGGCCCAAUACUGACACUCAGGUGCGACAGCGUGGGGAGCAAACAGG